GAAAACCGGUCUCAGUUCGGAUCGCAGUCUGCAACUCGACUGCGUGAAGGUGGAGUCGCUAGUAAUCGCGGAUCAGCACGCCGCGGUGAAUACGUUCCCGGGCCUUGUACACACCGCCCGUCACACCAUGAGAGUCUGUAACACCCAAAGCCGGUGGGAUAACCUUUAUAGGAGUCAGCCGUCUAAGGUAGGACAGAUGAUUAGGGUGAAGUCGUAACAAGGUAUC
rnacentral:rRNA from 1 species